rnacentral:rRNA from 1 species
ACGUGCCCUACACUGCAGUCGAGGGGGUAGGACACUUCGGUGUCUGAGACCGGCGCACGGGUGCGUAACGCGUAUGCAAUCUGCCUUAUACUAAGGGAUAGCCCAGAGAAAUUUGGAUUAAUACCUUAUAGUAUAUAGAUGUGGCAUCACAUUUAUAUUAAAGAUUUAUCGGUAUAAGAUGAGCAUGCGUCCCAUUAGCUAGUUGGUAUGGUAACGGCAUACCAAGGCAAUGAUGGGUAGGGGUCCUGAGAGGGAGAUCCCCCACACUGGUACUGAGACACGGACCAGACUCCUACGGGAGGCAGCAGUGAGGAAUAUUGGUCAAUGGGCGCGAGCCUGAUCCAGCCAUGCCGCGUGCAGGAAGACUGCCCUAUGGGUUGUAAACUGCUUUUACAGAGGAAGAAACCCCCCUUCGUGAAGGGGCUUGACGGUACUCUGCGAAUAAGGAUCGGCUAACUCCGUGCCAGCAGCCGCGGUAAUACGGAGGAUCCGAGCGUUAUCCGGAAUCAUUGGGUUUAAAGGGUCCGCAGGCGGGCGUCUAAGUCAGUGGUGAAAUCCCGCGGCUCAACCGUGGAAUUGCCAUUGAUACUGGUCGCCUUGAAUCAGUGUGAAGCGGCUAGAAUAUGUGGUGUAGCGGUGAAUGCUUUAGAUAUCACAUUAGCAUAGCGAUUGCGAGGCAGGUUCGCUUAAACUUGCAUGACGCUGAUGACGAAGGCUGGGAGCGACAGAAUUAGAAUACCUUGAUAGUCCUAGCCUUAAACGAUGAAUGCUUGGUGUCUGGGGUUUUAUAGUCCCCGGGUGCCGUCGCUAACGCUUUAAGCAUUCCGCCUGGGGAGUACGGUCGCAAGACUGAAACUCAAAGGAAUUGACGGGGACCCGCACAAGCGGUGGAGCAUGUGGUUUAAUUCGACGCAACGCGAAGAACCUUACCUGGGCUAGAAUGCCUCUGACCGGCGUAGAGAUACGCCUUCCUGGGUAAAACCAGGCAGAGUGCAAGGUGCUGCAUGGCUGUCUCAGCUCGUGUCGUGAGAUGUUGGGUUAAGUCCCGCAACGAGCGCAACCCUCGUCCUAUGUUGCCAGCGCGUUAUGGCGGCGGGGACUCAUAGGAGACUGCCGGGGUCAACUCGGAGGAAGGUGGGGAUGGGGUCAAAUCAUCAUGCCCCUUAUGUCUUGGGCUUCAAGCAUGCUACAAUGGCCGGUACAAAGGGCUGCGAAACCGCGAGGUGGAGCGAAUCCCAAAAAGCCGGUCUCAGUUCGGAUUGGGGUCUGCAACUCGACCCCAUGAAGUCGGAGUCGCUAGUAAUCGCAGAUCAGCAACGCUACGGUGAAUACGUUCUCGGGCCUUGUACACACCGCCCGUCACAUCAUGAAAGUCGGUAACACCCGAAGCCAGUGGCCCAACCCCUGUGGGAGGGAGGUUUCGAAACGGUGGGUAG